rnacentral:lncRNA from 1 species
UUUUUUUUUUUUUGAGGUGAAGGAGAAAGGAGUUAUGCGAAACUUGGUUUGGGUCUCUCCCGCAAUUUAGGCGAUGCGCACUUUUCAUUUUGCUUUCUAGGGUGCCGAGGAGACCUCCUAUUCCACGCGUAACAGACUCGGAAACGUAGUCUCAAAAAAAAAAAGACUAGGAAACGUGCACCUCAGCGUAGGGACGGGUGUUGGGCCUCAAUCUCUGGCCCACCUCCGUUUCUUUCGUUCGCUGGACUAUCUCGUGUGUGAGCAAAACAAAAAUCGAAUUUCUUGUAACAUCAGUUGAAAUGUCAAGAAAAAAGCAUAUUUUUUCGCAAAUAAGGUUCUGGAUUUAUAUUGAAAAUUUCCAACGAUGGAAGACAUCUGAAAAAACAAGAUUUUUUUUAUUUUCGGCUGAAAAAAAGUUACAACAAGGUUCUAACAAAGCCAAGCAAAACUCAAUCUCCAGAAGCCGAAGGUGAGCCGUUGCUGCCGCUCCAUCACUGAAGCCGGCCUGAUACUGUAUCCUACCAUCGGCGGGAAAAUCUUCGUGCUAAAGUUCAGUUGGAACAAUGCUCUGGAGAAAAAGCCAACAUCAUAGGAGCCUUGCAAUUCAACAAUGCUCUGCUCGUUUAAAUCUUAUCAAGUUCAAAGUAGCAGACUGUCUAGCUACAGGUGGUGCACAACCAGGCCAUGCGACCACUGUAAACCUACUGGUUUCGCCAGUUGCUUUGGUGAACGGAAUGCCAAUUAUACAAAAAAAAGGUAAAUAAGAACUUGCAGUUCACCAACCGUGACAGCAAGAAUUUAAAGCAGAGUAAACCAGUCGCAUCAAAGCAAAUACGAGCGUGACAUUAGAACCAACAACGCGUAUAAUACUAGUGUGACAAAACAUUGCUGCGCUGCUACUCGACAUUCUUCAGAUGCUGCUGGAGCUAGGAAUGCAUUCUCAAAUCAACUAGGAAUCAAUAGAUCAAGAGCAUACAAGAGCUACAGCUAACUUACAGUACUAGAAUAAAGACCAAGGCCAUCAUCAACUCAUAUCCUCAUCAGAAGAUUCACUCCCUCCCGUUGUUGGAUCGAAUACAUCAGAGUCGCUGUCCUCACAAUAGAAGGGAAAUUGUAUAUCUUCCCUGCCCAUAUCAUAUAUCCCUUUUAAUGGGUGCCUCAAUACACCCAUUCCUUGCUUCUUACAUGCAUAACAUUCACCUGCCAAAGUAAAUCACAAUGUUAGAAUCUUUUUAGGUCACUACAAGUCAUAAGGUGAAAAUUUUCCAUACCAUAUCGAUCUUGCUCCAAAGGAUAACAGGCAUAUAGUUUUAUCAUACAUAUUGAUUUGACCUCGGCGAAGUACAUCACCGAUGUCCAAUCAACUAAGCCAGGCUUCUUUAUCUUGACAGUAAAGUUGAAGUGAUGAAAUAUCUUUAAAUAAUUCUCCACACUAAAACAUUGAUGGACAAGCUCGUCAAAUUCAUAAUCAACUCCCUAAGAUGAAACAAAUGUUAGUCAUAGUUCUCUACGUCCCAACAAUAAAGAGGAUUUCAGGGCGGGCGUGGAGAACCUUAAGAUCAUCUUUGCUCUCAAUGUAUCUUUUGAAAGCCACCAUCGCCUCCUCGCUCAUCCAUCGUUUCGCAUUUGCAGCAAUUUCUUCUUUCUUAGAAGCAUAAGUAUGUUGUCCUCGUGCUUGGACUGAUUGGGUUUGUUUUUCAACUUGCAUGUCUGCAUAUUCUCUAAUAGUUUCAAAGUCGAGUGGCCAAUAUCCUUGUGCUUGGAAAAAUUGAGCUCGUUCUUCAUCUUGUCUAAUCUCAAAAUCUAUAUCACCUUCAUGGUCAAGUGGAUAAAAUUCUCCAAUUAUCCCCUGCCUGGAUAGAAAUAUCAGAAUCCGGUCAGCAAAACAUGGUUCAUAAUGUGGUCUAGAUAGAUAUACGAGACAACAUGGGACAAGAUGUAAUAAACUGAUUCUCAAUUUAAUUAAAAUUGCAUUAAUAAACAAAGCACUCUUUGCUUAGAUAUAGGAGAGAAGUCUUGUAAUAAACCGAGCUUGCUUUAUUCACUUUGAACCAAAGCACUGUUUGCUUAGAUAUAGGAGAGAAGUCUUGUAAUAAACCUUGCUUUAUUCACUUUGAACCUUUGAUUAUAGUAUUCUUGUAUGGAUAUAAUACAAGUUCACUACACGGAGUUUACUAACCAGGUUCUAGAAAUACAGAUGAUGUGGGGUUCACUAUGCCUAUCAACUGAGCUAUUCUGAAUUAUGACAUGCGGAAGACGAUCACAUAGCUCCAAUUAAAGCUAUUUGUUGACCUAAAGAAACAUAACAACACGACCGUUUUCAGAAUAUCAGUAUGCAUCAUAUGAAAUUAUGAAUCGACUGUUUCAGCAUGCAUCACCACCCUAGGUCACAAUUGAUUUACCUCCAUGCUUUAGUCAAUGUCAAACAAUUUGCUACCUAUUAGUGCAACCAUACGGGUCAUAAAAAGUACCCAAAACAAACAAUUAUUAACUUACGAAAAGGAAGGACAAAAUAAAGAUGGACAUACUCGUCAGCUGAUUCAAGUGUGUGAGGUGUGUCGUUCAGCGUGAGGGUCUCAAACUUAGACAGAUCCUUGCUUGCACCCCCAAGCUCAAUGCUGCUCACCUCCUCGACAUGCUCCCGAGCCCUGAUGAAAACAAGCACGAUAAUGUGUCAGUGACUAUUAUGGUGAGGGUGGUGGAAAUAUAGCUAGGAUUUGUUGGCAUUAUCUGUUUUUUUCCAUGAGAAGGACAGGGCAACAAAAUAGUUAAUACACUGUGAUUUCAAACGGAUAUUGAACACACAGAUUGAUUCGCCACACACUCGUAUUUGCUUUGAUGUGACUGGUUUACUCUGCUUUGAAUACUCCCUGGGACCGAGGCUGUGUCUCACCGUUGAUUGAGCUAGUUCACAAACUAAAAGAAAACAAACAAUGGCAGGGAGGUGAGGGGGAGGGAAUCUCACCCAGUUUCAUUUUCGUUCGAAGAGGACGCCGGAGAGCCGGCGGGAGGUGAAGGGGGUCGGCCGCCGGCCAUCGCGAGGAGCCGGCGGAGGACAACCUAGGAGAAAGGAGUUAUGCGGUGAAACUUUGGUUGGGUCUCUCCAGCAAUUUAGGCGAUGAACACUUUUUGUUUUGUUUUCUAACUAUAGGGAGGNNNNNNNNNNNNNNNNNNNNNNNNNNNNNNNNNNNNNNNNNNNNNNNNNNNNNNNNNNNNNNNNNNNNNNNNNNNNNNNNNNNNNNNNNNNNNNNNNNNNNNNNNNNNNNNNNNNNNNNNNNNNNNNNNNNNNNNNNNNNNNNNNNNNNNAGCCUAGCGACGGAUGUUGGGCUUCAAUCGCUGGCCCACCUCGGUUUCUUUCGUUCGCUUCGCUGGACUGUCUGUGUGUGAGAAAAAAAAAACGAAUUUCUUGUUCUUUUUAACAUGGUAUAUAUACUCAGACGGUUAUACAUACACAUAUAUUCACCCCUAUAAUCAUACACACGCACACCCUAUCCCUAUUUUUAUAUUGUGAUCCAAAUUCAAGUAAUCCCUCUGUUCCCAUAAUGUAGUGCAUUUUUUUUUUCAAAUAUCAAACCUCCCAAACUUUGUCCAAGUUCAUGGAGAAAAAUAUUUACAAUUAGAAUGUCAAAUAUAUAUAUCAUUAGAUUCAUCACAAGAUGUUGUUUCAUAUUUCAUAAAUUUGGUAUUGUAGAUUAAAUAUUUUUCUCUAUAACUUGAUCAAAGUUUACGAAGUUUGACAUUUUAAAAAAUAUAUAUGCACUACAUUAUGGAACAGAGGGAGUAUAAAGAUAAAGACAACUUCUGACGAGCGAGCGGAGUUAGGCCCCUCGUUGGUAGGCUUGGGCCGAUGGAUCAGUAUUGACCUAGAUCACAUGUGUUAUAUAUAUAUAUAUAUAUCCUUUGUAAGCCGUCGGACGGGAUAAGUUGAGCAGUUGUAAAUCCUAUGCGUUUCUAAGGGCAUCUCCAACGGCGGCCCACAAAUUUUCUUCCUCAUCCAUCUGCUGGCAAGGGGGGGGGGGGGCAGUUCGCGGACACAGUUGCGGGAGGCCACCAGCCAACACUGCCCGCAUACAUUUAACCACUCUUUGAACUAACCAGACAAAAUACAUGCAAACACGGCGGAUUUCAUACGAAUGGGACGAAAUUCAUUAUAUUUUGGACAUAUUUUUAACUUAAAAUGAUACUGGACUAAGAUAAAAACUAGUCUACGGCCGGUGCAGGCGGAUAUCCAUUCCGACGACAUGGAUACCUUUGACUAAUCCAUGGCCAGCCACGACGGAUCUUCAUUGUCGUCCCCCUGCCCAGUAGGGGCGAGCCACGAAGGUAUAUGCUUCAGCACAAAGGGCGACUGGCUUCCCCACGGCUCAUCGAAGUAGAACCGCCGGUUGAUGCUUUAGCCGGAGAGGAAGGGUGCCUAUGCUGCCCAGAUCAGAGUUGGUUUUGGGGAAAGGGGCGACGGUGGCCUUCGAGAGGGCAAGACACCGGCGUCGCCUCGGCGGUGGCCUCCCGUGUUCUACUUCUCCUCGAUGAUGGCGGCGGCCACGGGCGUGCUGGGCGUCGUCUCGUCAAUGUCCACAUAGCCGGCUUCUUUCUUCACGCGCGGAUAUCCAUUCUGAUGACAUGGAUACCUUUGACUAAUCUACGACCAGCCACGGCGGAUCUCCAUUGUCCUUCCCCUGCCCAGCAGGCAUGAGCCACGAAGGUAUAUGCUUCAGCACAAAGGGCGGAUGGCUUCCCCACGGCUCAUCGAAGUAGAACCGCUAGCUGAUGCUUUAGCCGGAUCAGACUUGGUUUUGGGGUAGGGACGACGAUGGCCUUCGAGAGGGCAAGACAUCGGCGUCGCCUCGGCGGUGGCCUUCAUGGGACCCAAGCGGCGGUGGCCUCCCGUGUUACUUCUCCUUGAUGAUGGCGGCGGCCGUGGGCGUUCUGGGCAUCGUCUCGUCAAUGUCUGCGUAGCCGGCUUCUUUCUCCAUCGGUAGGGCGCGGUUACGCGCGCGUUGACGAUGGAUGGAGGGAUCGCAGGCACGGGAGGCACCGUACGACACGACGUCAUCCACGACAGCCAAGAUGUUCGUGCUGCCAUCCCCCACCCCUCCUGCCGGCCUGGAGCAACUCGCCACUCCUCGGCAAGCUGAACCACGCGCCGGCGUGGAGCUUCAGCCUCCGCGAGCUGGCCUGCAACGGCCUGGAACGCCGAUGGAGGUGGAACAGACAGUUGGCUGGCUCGCCAGCUUUUAUGUUGGAGAAUUUUUCUUCCUACUAGCAAGAUGCCCGUGCGUUGCACGGAACAUUAAGAUCUUGUGGGAGAAAAGGAUGAACAAGGGAAGGUAUUAUCUGCAAAUGUGGAGAGGAGUGCAGGUAAAUUGUCAUAGUUUCCUUCCUAUCCCUUAGAUAUAGAUCGGACAGUCUAUAUUGCAGGAUGGCAGGCACACCAUCAUCACCAACUCUGCUUUUUAUAAGAGUAGAGACUCGUCGGAUGCCAUGGAGGAAAAUGUUAAAGGAGGAAAUGGAGAGCGAAGGUGUGGUGCGGUUCUUGUCGGGCGUCUCGCACCGUUUAAAUAGCGAGCGGAUGUGAGGAGCCAACCGACUUGUGAAUAAUGAUGGCCACCUCGAGAACGGACGUGUGACCGAAGUAGGUAUCUCAUCACACGGGUGGGUUAAUAGAGGACAGUGGGCAGACUUCAGCCAUUUGGAUGCGACGAGGAGGCGUGCUCACCUGAGCGUGCAGCAGGCGGCGCCCUCGACCGGCGUGCCGUUUCAAUGGUAGAGGCAGUGAGAGGUUGCGUACGCUCUGAUCCGGCUUCAAUGUGAAGCGGCCGCUCUACAACGGCAUAAAUGCGUGCAGCUGGCACCAGACGGGAACACGCGCUGGCAAGGUAUAGGGGGUUGGGGUGGGAUCAGGAUGGUCUGAAGCGGGCGUCAGUGUUGUCCAGACGCCCGCAAAGCCCCCCAUAUUUGUCUCCGGAUUACGGGAGAAAACACGUCCGGAUCGCUAGGCGGAUCGACACAUACCUUCUACGAUCUGGGGUUUUCCACGUUAAAUCCUCGUGUCUCAUGUGUUGAUUUUGACCUUCGUCAUUUGAUUUGCUUGUCGUACCUCUAACACCUGCUCCACCAAAGAUGCCCCCGUGCUGUGGAACUGUGGCGAGCCAUGGAGAAACAUUGGAGCUUGCCGGACCUAAAUUCUGUAAGGCCGACGGGUAUUGAGUGGCUGUUCGACGUGUUGUACCCCAUGCAGGCUGAUGAUCGCGUGACGGUCCUUAUGGUGUUGUGGCACGCUUGGCAUAUCAGCAAUGAAAUCGUCCAUGAGAAGAGGCCUCCCCCAGUGGAGGUAUCAUACCGGUUUCUGCUCAGCAAUGAAGCAUCCCUGGCUGCUAUCCAGCGAAACCCGGACGGUAAUCACAUGAAGGGCAAGAUGGUGCUUGCGCCCGCUGCAAGGAUGGCACCGGCAAGGCAUCAGGAGAACGCACCAGUGCCAGACAGCAUGUGGCAGGCCCAGCUCCUGGGCGUGUUAAACUGAACGUCGACGGUUCCUACUGCCCCGCCUCUGGUGGUGCGGGUGCAGGCAUGAUCUUGAGGGACAGCAAUGGAGCGAUCAUUUUUCCGGCAUGCAGAAACCUUCUCUUCUAUGCAGAUCCCUUGCAAGCAGAGUUGGUGGCUUGUCUCGAGGGCCUCAAUUUUGCUAUGCAAUGGUCUCCUUUGCCUGUGGACGUGGAGAUGGACAGCCUGAUUGCUGUGCAGGCUAUCCAGUCAAUGACUGAUGAUAAAUCGCAACAUGCGAUGAUGAUUACUGAAGCUAAGAGACUUCUUGGUGAAAGGGGAAGCUCAAUUGCUCAUAUUAGUAGGAGACAAAACCGUGUUGGGCAUAGACUAGGUGAAUUUGGUCGAGUAGAAGCUAGGACUGCCGUAUGGUUAAAAUCAGGACCUGCUAAUGUACUGGAACUUUGUAUGGAGGAUCUUCCUCCAAGUUGAGCAAUGAAAUUCCUUUUGACCCCGCAAAAAAAAGGUUCUAAAUUUUAUAUUCAAAAUUUCCGACGAUAAAAGACAUCUGAAAAAAAUUUACAACCAGAUUCUAACAAAACCAAGCAAAACUCAAUCUCCACAAAAAUGGACUAUAUGUCACUACAGGCGCGGAACGUCCUCUGCAAUGGUAGAAUCAGAUUCUACUACUCAGGUGCAGGCUGUUAACAGAGAAGGAUAUGACCGGUCAGGUAGAUUGACUUCUUUGCUCGUUUAAAUCUUGUCAAGUUCAAAGUAGCAGACGGUCAGGUAGAAUCGGAUUCUACUACUCUGGCUGCAGGUGGUGCACAACCAGGCCAUGCCGCCACUGCAAUUCUGCAAACCUGCUGGUUUGGCCGUUUGCUUGGCCAAUUAUACCCAAAAAAGAAGGUAAAUAAGAACUUGCAGUUCACCGACUGUGACAGCAACAAUUUAAAGCAGAGUAAACCAGUCGCAUCAAAGCAAAUACGAGCGUGACAUUAGAACCAACAACACAUAAUACCAGUGUUACAAACCAUUGCUGCGCUGCUACUCGACAUUCUUCAGAUGCUGCUGGAGCUAGGAAUACAUUCUUAAAUCAACUAGGAAUCAACAGAUCAAGUGCAUACAAGAGCUACAGCUAACUUCUUUUCUUUUUUUUCUUUUUUUUUGAGGGGAGAGCUACAGCUAACUUACAGUACUAGAAUAAAGGACAAGGCCAUCAUCAACUCAUAUCAUCAUCAGAAGAUAAACUCCGGACUGUUGCUGGAUCGAAUUCAUCAGAGUCGCUGUCCUCAUAAUAGAAGGGAGGUUCUACAUCUUCCCUGCCCAUAUCGUAUAUCCCUUUUAACGGGUGCCUCAAUACACCCAUUCCUUGGUUCUCACAGGCAUAACUUUCACCUGCCAAAGUAAAUCACAAUGUUAGAAUCUUUUUAGGUCACUACAAGUCAUAUGGUGAAAAGUUUCCAUACCAUAUUGAUUUUCCUUCAAAGGAUAACAGGCAUAGAGUUUUAUCAUACAUAUCGAUUUGACCUCGGCGAAGUACAUCGCCGACAUCCAAUCAGCUGAGCCAGGCUUCUUUAUCUUGACAGUAAAGUUGAAGUGAUGGAAUAUCGUUAAAUAAUCCUCCAUAUUAAAACAUUGAUGGACAAGCUCCUCAAAUUCAUAAUCAAGUCCCUAAGAUGACACAAGUGUUAGUCAUAGUUCUCUACAGUACCAACAAUAAAAAGCAUUUUAGAGCAGACGUGCUCUCAAUGUAUCUUGUGAAAGCCACCAUCGCCUCCUCGCUCAUCCAUCGUUUCGCAUUUGCAGCAAUUUCUUCUUCCUUAGAAGCGUAAGUAUGUUGUCCCCGUGCUUGGACUGAUUGAGUUUGUUUUCCAACUUUCAUGUCUGCAUAUUCUCUGUUAGUUUCAAAGCCGAGUGGCCAAUAUCCUUGUGCUUGGAAAAACUGAGCUCGUUCUUCAGCUUGUCUUCUCUCAAAUUUUAUAUCACCUUGAUGGUCGAGUGGAUAAAAUCCUCCAAAUAUCUCCUGCCUAGACAGAAAUAUAAGAAUCCGGUCAGCAAAACAUGGUUAAUAAUGUAAUCUAGAUAGAUAUACAAGAAAGUGCACGUAGUGAUACAACAUGGGACAAGAUGCAAUAAAAUGAUUCUCAAUUUAAUUAAACUUGCAUUAAUAGACUAUAAGCACUCUUUGCUUAGAUAUAGGAGAAAAGUCAUGUAAUAAACCUUGCCUUAUUCACUAUGAACCUUUGAUUAUAGUAUUUGUGUAUGGAUAUAAGACAGGUUCACUACGUGGGGUUCACUAACCAGGUUCUAGAAAUACGGAUGAUGUGGGGUUCACUAUGCGUAGCAACUGAGCUAAUCUGCAUUAUGACAUGCGAAAGACAAUCGCAUAGCUCCAUUUAAAGCUAUUUGUUGACCUAAAGAAAACAUAACAACACAACUGUUUUCUGAAUAUCAGUAUGCAUCAUAUGAAAUUAUGAACCGACUGUUUCAGCAUGUAUCACCACCCUAGGCCAAACAAUUUACAUCCAUGCUUUAGUCAACGUCUACUGUGACUAAAUUUGAAGCUUGAAAGUCCUAAGAAAACAGAUAUCAAUAAUCGAUCUUCAAUGCACGAGGAAAGUGUGUAUGCCGAGAAGAAGUUGUUUGAAUCAAACGAAUUAUCCACAAAUUCUUGCUACAAUUGUUUACAUAAUUCAUUUUCCAUCAUAAUCUCAUAAUCGUGGUGGCAUCCUCACCACCUCAAGGAGAAGGUAACCAAAUCUACUCCCUCCGUCCCAUAAUGUAAGACGUUUUUUGACACUAGUAGUAGUGUCAAAAAACGUCUUACAUUAUGGGACGGAGGGAGUAGCAGAUAUGGAUACAUGCCACCAGUCUCAGGAGAGAACAACCAUGAUAGGGUGAGAUUGUUACCAAACACACCCAACAAGUACCCGUUGUACAACCAUAUGGGUCAUAACAAGUACUCCCUCCGUUCCAAAUUACUCGUCGCUAAAAUGGAUGUAUCUAGAAUUAAAAUACAUCUAGAUACAUCCAUACGUGUGACAAGUAAUUCAGAACGGAGGGAGUACCCAUUAGUGCAACCAUACGGGUCAUAAAAAGUACCCAGCACUUCAACAAAGCAGUUGUUAAUAACUUACAAAAGGAAGAUGGACAUACCCGUCAGCUGAUUCAAGUGUGUGAGGUGUGUCAUUCAGCGUCAGGGUCUCAAACCUGGACAGAUCCUUGCUUGUAUCCCCAAGCUCACGGCUGCUCACCUCCUCCACAUGCUCCGGGACCCUGAUCAAAACAAGCACGAUGAUGUGUCAGGUGACUAUUACGACGAAGAUGUAGAAACAUGGCUAGGAUGGUAGAAACAUAGCUAGGAUUUGUUGGCAUUUUCUGUUUUCCUCAUGAGAAAGAUGGUGCAACAAAUUUAAUUUGACCAACCAAAACAAAAUUUGACCAACAGGGACUAGCCCCUGUGGCAUAUUGAUUCAGAGGAAACAACCCAGGUGCAUGCAAUGGAACCCGGAUGGCAGGCUGGGUGCAAAGCUGAGCGCACGCCACAGCCAACCACAACCAGUUCCUGGAUAAACAAAAACUACAACCAUAGUACUCCCUCCGUCUGAAAAUACUUGUUAUCAAAAUGGACAAAAAGAAAUGUAUCUAAAACUAAAAUACAUAUAGAUACAUUCCCUUUUAUUUAUUUUGAUGACAAGUAUUUCCGGAUGGAGGGAGUAUAUCAAAAUGCCUCACCGCCAACAAUAUUUUUUGACAGAGAUACAUGUCUGUGAUUGACAAAAAAAAGGAGACUCCCAAGGGGCCUAUACGAUCAGCACGUCGCUCGGACUGGGACUGCAGCUUCCCUGGACGCAAUUAAAGAUUGAGCCAGUUCACAAAGUAAAAGAAAAGAAACAAUGCAGGGAGAUGGGGGUGGGGGGGAGUCUGACCCAGUUCCAGUUUCGCUCGAAGAGGACGCUGGAGAGCCGGCGGGAGGCGAAGCGGAUCGGUCGCCGGCCAUCGCGAGGAGGGCGGAGGACAAGACAACCUAGGAGAAAAGAGUGGUGCGAGCAAACUUUUUAUUUUGUUUUCUAUAGGGACCACGCGUAACAGACUAGGAAACGUGCACCUCAGCAGCAUAGCGACGGGUGUUGGCCUUCAAUCGCUGGCCCGCCUCGGUUUUCUUCCGAUUCGCUGGACUAUCUCGUGUGUGAGCAAAACAAAAAAAAUACGAAUUUCUUGUAACAACAUUUUUCUCCUCAAAAAGAGGAUUACCACUGGCCUCUGCAUCAAGCAAUCCAUACAACCAUCUUUAUUAAUUAUUCAACAGAGUCCAACAGAGUAGAUACACGGAUAAGCCCAAUGCCAACUUUCUCGCGACCUCAAUCGUACACCUACAAGUCUCAUGGAGUGCCUCGGCGCAUCCACACACACCAUCUAAUCCGGUGGCCACCCCAGGCUGUCGUGAGCCGAGAGGACCAAUCGGUGUAUCAAACCCUCAGCAUACACCGCCUUUGCGCCAUCUUCCACCGUCCCAUCUUCAGGAGAGAUCAAUGCAUAUGCCUUGCCAGGCCCAACUGCCGUCGACGCCACCACGACACCUGACAACACCACUAUCCUGCGCGCGUCCAUCAACAGGCGACCAUCGCCGAGAGCCCGCUGCCCCAUGGCAUCGAGACUCGUCGUUGUUGACGCGUCAGAUGCCACGCCGCUCCACCGUUGUAGUCGUUCACUGGUCCCUCUAGCCGAUGAACCCCUCCAAGAAUGAUUGCCCCCAAUGGGGGAACGACACGUGAGCGCCGCCAUCAUCCUAUCAAUUGAUCAAGGGUUUCCCACGAAGGUAGCGGAAGGAGGUGGAACUUCACCUCCUCGAUGAUGCCUUCAAGAAGUAAAAUGGCGCCUGGGGCGUCACCAUCACCAGCUUCAGCCACCGGCCUAAGACAAGGUUUUCACCCGGAUCUUGUCCCACGAGAAUCCAUCCCACAUCUUGUGCAUCGGCCAAACCACCUUCAAACCCCAGAUCUGGCUGCCCAGAUCCGGCGACCACCCACAUCAACACUGCCACCGUGGAAGCCUGGCACACCGGCCACUACCGGAGUGCACCACCACUGGAGCCUGGGAGGAGGGCCGCCCCUCCACCUCGCAAAACCGUGAGAGACGCCAGGAAAGAUCCCGCUCCUGCUCGUCACCGUCACUGAUCGGAUCCUAUCCGGAGCCAAACACUAGAUCACCGGCGCAGAUCCGCCUUGGAUGGGGGCACCACCACACCAUGCCGCCACGGGCAGCCUUAGCUUCACUUGCCGCCGCCGACCAGGGCCGUCGCCCUGGGAUCCGUGUCGGACGUCGUCGCCGCCAUCGGCCGUGCUUAGCCCCACCCCAUCCUCUGGCCGAUCUCCACCCGCACCACCACAAGCGUCACUGCCAAGAGCCGCCGCACCGCCAUGGAACGAUGGAGAGGCCACACCCAGCGGAUCCAGCGCCCUCGCCGCCGUUCAACCUAGGAAGGAGGAGCAACCUUCCGCCGCCGCCGUCAAACGCAUGAGGUUUGCCGGGCGCUGUCCCCCGGCGACGACGGAGGGGAAGGAGNNNNNNNNNNNNNNNNNNNNNNNNNNNNNNNNNNNNNNNNNNNNNNNNNNNNNNNNNNNNNNNNNNNNNNNNNNNNNNNNNNNNNNNNNNNNNNNNNNNNNNNNNNNNNNNNNNNNNNNNNNNNNNNNNNNNCCAAAUAAGGUUCUGGAUUUAUAUCAAAAUUUUCCGAUGAUAAAAGACAUGAAAAAAGAAGAUUUUUUAUUUUCUUUGCCGGUGAAAAAAAAGUUACAACAAGGUUCUAACACAGCCAAGUAAAACUCGAUCCCCAGCACAAGCCGAAGGUGUGCCAUUGCUGGCGCUCCAUGCUAAAGCCGGCCUGAUAUUGUACCCUACAAUCGGCGGGAAAGUCCUCAUGCUAAAGUUCAGUUGGAACAAUGCUCCGAGAAAAGACCAACAUCAUAGAAGCCUUGCAGUUCAACAAUGGUCUGUCAAUAAGGGAGAUUGACUUCUCUGCUCGUUAAGUUCAAAGUUACUAGACUGUCUAGGUGUUACUCAGAAAAAAAAAGACAGUACACGGAUGGGCCGACGAUUGAAGCCCAACACCCGUCGCUGGCAGGCUCUGCCCGUUUCCUAGUCUGUCCCGGGCGUUAAAGCGUGGAAUUAGAGGCCUCCUCCUCCCUUUUUUUUUACUCAAAAAAAAAGGCCUCCUCCUCCCUAGUAGAAAACAAAAUAAAAAGUGUUCAUCGUCUAAAUUGCGGGAGAGACCCAAGGAAAAUUUCCCCACACCACUCUUUUGUCUUUUCUCCUCGCGAUGGCCGGCGACAGAUCCCCUUCACCUCCCGCCGCCUCCCCGGCGUCCUCUUGGAGUGAAGCUAAAACUCAGUGAGAUUUCCUCCCCUUCACCGCGCGCCCUGCCAUUGUUUAGUUUCUUUUAGUUUGUGAAAGAACUAGCUCAAUCAACGUUGAGACAGUAGGCCCAAGCCUCAGGUUUAACUGCGUCCAUGGAGGCUGCAGCCCCAGUCCCGAGGGACGUAUCGGCUCCAUGGAGUCUCUUUCUCUUUGGCGGUGAGGCGGUUUGGUACGAGUUGUUUAUUUUGAUGCUUUGGUUGAAGUUUAUCCAGGAACUGGUUGUGGCGUGCGGUCAGCUUUGCACCCAGCCUGCCAGUGAUACAACCAUUAGUCAUUAUUUUGCAAAGCUCUUGGAACAGAUUCUAACUGGCUCUGUGGGUUUAUUUAUUUGGUGAUCUAGAGUUGUGAUGUAUGCUCUAAAGUCUAAACAUGCUUCGUUGAAUCUGUAUCGUGAUGUUUAAGAUUGAUCAUUGAUAUUUGUUUUCAUAAACCUUUCCAAGCCUCCAAUUUGGUCACAGUAGAAGUUGACUAAAGCAUGGAUAUAAGCUGUUUUACCUAGGGUGGUGAUGCAUGCUGAAACAGUCGAUUCAUAAUUUCAUAUGAUGCAUACUGAUUUUCAGAAAACACUCGUGUUGUUAUGUUUAUUUAGACCAACCCAAUAGCUUUUAUUGGAGCUACAUAUGUGAUCGUCUUUUGUAGGUCAUAAUGCAGAUUAGCUCAGCUGCUACGCAUAGUGAACCCCACAUCAUCUGUACUUCUAGAACCUGGUUCUAGUAUUAAUUUAUUACCCAUACACAAAUACUAUAAUCAAAGGUUCAUUGUGAAUCAAGCAAGGUUUAUUGAACUUUCUCCUAUAUCCAAGGAAAGAGUGCUUAGUUUAUUGGAGUAAUACAAGUUCAGUUAGUUGACAAUCAGUUUAUUGCAUUUUGCCUCUUGUAUUUGGUACAUGUGUAGAUUACAUUAGUAACCAUGUUUUGCUGACCGUAUUCUGGUAUUUUUAUCUAGGAAGCAUAAACUUGGAAGAUUGUAUCCACUCGACUUUCAAGGUAGUAUAGAAUUUGCAAGAAAACAAGAUGAAGAACGAGCUCAACUAUUCCAAGCACGAGGAUAUUGGCCACUUGACUAUCAAGCUAAUACACGAUAUGCAGACAAACAAGCUGAAAAACAAACACAAUCAGUUGAAGCGCGAGGGCAACAUACUUAUGCUUCUAAAAAGGAAGAAGCUGCUGCAAAUGCGAAACGAUAGAUGAGCGAGGAGGCGAUGGUGGCUUUCAGAAGAUACAUUGAGAGCAAAGAUGGUGGUACGUGGCAGCAUGGCGCUGAGGUGUAUCAGUGGCGACCGCGACGUGUACAGCUGUUUGCGCGCAGGGAGGAGGUGACGUUGGGCGCCGUGGUGGCGUCGACGAUAGCUGGGCCGACCAAGGUUGAUGCAUCAGUACAGUUCUGAAGAUGGAGCGGUGGCAGUUGGCGGCGGCGGCCUCUGAGAGCACGCCGGACCAGUGUGUGCCCCAGACCCGGCAAGUGGCUAGGUUGGGGUCUCAGGUCUUAGAUGUUAGGCUUGACUGCAAUUUCUGUUUGGUAUUAGGCCCAGGCUAUCUGCGCCCCUUCAUCAACUGGAUAGGUGUAGCGACAGUUUGUUGUUUAGACGGUGGCUUUAGUCUUACUGUUGUAUGACUUUGUAAGGUCUUGUGAGAAUAAUUAAUAAAGUGGCCGUAUGCAUCGCCCAGAUGCAGAGGCCGGGGGUCAUCCUCCUUUUCUAAAAAAAAAUUGAGAGCAAAGAUGAACUUAAGGUUCUCCAUUUCUGCUCUAAAUCAUUUUUAUUGUUGGGACUGUGGAGAAGUAUGACUAACACUUGUUUCAUCUUAGGGAGUUGAUUAUGAAUUUGACGAGCUUGUCCAUCAAUGUUUCCAUGUGGAGCAUUAUUUGAAGACAUUUCAUCACUUCAACUUUACUGUCAAGACAAAGAAGCCUAGCUCAGCUGAUUGGACAUCGGCAAUGUACUUCGCUCAGGUCAAAUCGAUAUGCAUGAUAAAAUGCUAUGUCUGUUAUCCUUUGGAGCAAGAUCAAUAUGGUAUGGAAAAUUUUCACCUUAUGACUUGUAGUGGACCUGAAAAAAUUCUAACAUUGUAAUUUACUUUGGCAGGUGAAUGUUAUGCAUGUAAGAACCAAGGAAUGGGUGAACUGAAGCACCCAUUAGAAGGGGUGUACGAUAUGGGCAGGGAAGAUACACAAUUUCCCUUGUAUUAUGAUGAGGACAGUGACUCUGAAUUCGAUCCAACAACGGGAGGGAGUGAAUCCUCUGAUGAUGAUAGCCUUGUCCUUUAUUCUAGUUAAGUUAACUUUGGCUCUUGAUCUAUUGAUUCAAGUCAAAUUGCUAUUAGUUGAUAUGAGAAUGCCAAUGUGUAAUGUACUAGUAGUAGAUAGUACUCCAUCUGAAAAAUGUCGAGUAGCAGCGCAGCAAUGGCUUGUCAGCUGGUUGGGAUUUAUUUUUGGGGGGUUUUAUUUAGAGGCUGGGUGGGACAUGGGAGGUGCUAUUAUGUGUUGUCGGUUCUAAUGUCACACUGGUAUUUGCUUUGAUGCUACUGGUUUGGUUUAGUCUGCUUAAAUUCUUGCCUUCACAGCUGGUGAGCUGCAAGUUUUUAUUUACUUAUUUUUUCUUGUUUCGACAUUCCGCGCCCAUAGUGACAAAUGGCAGGCAGGGAGCAAUUACCAUCCCAUUCUUAUCGCUGGGGCACUUCCAUCCACGCUUACCACCACUUGUUUACAACCUAGCGCUGCAUCCUGUACGCUGGCCGUUUUGACCAUCUUGGUAUGCUCAACCUGGUAAUGGAUGAGUAUACCGCGCUUGUCAUCUACACACGACCAUCUUCAAAAUCAUGACGGAGGAGGGUCGCUAGCUCCAUCGGCCAGAGUAUAUCAUUCAACAGCGCCAUAUGGGUCGAUCAACUCCGCCGCCUUCCGUGUCCCCUUCAAAAUGCUCCUCUGUGCAUACGAUACGAUGCUCCAAGCCUGACUUCAGGCUUGUCUGUUUGGGCUUUAGGGUAAGACGGUGCCAAACCUUUGCAACCUAAUAUCAAUGUCUUAUCGGAACAAUAAGACAAGGAAGUAGAUGAUCUAUUGUAUACUACCUAGAUACCUGUGUCAAUUAAUUCUGGACGGAUGAAGUAGGAGUACAUUGUUCCCCCCAAGAAAAGUAUUCCAAGGUUGUUCCCCCCAGCGGCUGAGCACAACCGUUCCUUCCAAUGUAAAAUCUGAACCUCCGUAACUUAUCUUCCAUUGAAACAAAACACUGCUACAAAGCCAUUCUCUACAUAACUGCGAACCAAUAUUAAAUUCACAAAGAGCUAUGCGUCACACACAAGCAGAUUCCUGGUGCAAGAAAACAACACACUAUAUUGAGAGGUAUUAUCAGUAUGCCCAAAAUCCAACCAUGUUGGUAACAUGAACAGACAAAACAGUAAGGCAAUACAACACACAGCAAAGCUGCAUCUCCCUCCGUCUUCGUACAAAAGUCGCGUUCUCACCAAGACCUAUAUGAGCUGCAUCAACAAGCACGCACCACUGCUCCACUUCUAUGGGCUACGGGAUACAAUCCACCGAGAGCCAGAAGCUCGUUCGCAACCUUUAUAGCCGGUACGCAAAGCGUAC